GGGGAUAUAACUCAGUUGGUAGAGUGCUUGCCUCCUAUGUAUGAGGCCCUGGGUUCAAUCCCCAGCACUACCA
rfam:Ictidomys tridecemlineatus contig102911, whole genome shotgun sequence.